CUUUGGCGCGAUCUUUUUUUCCGGGGGGGGGGGGGGUGCUUUGAGUGUGUAUGCGAUAGAAGUCAAACGUUGUAGCUUUAUUACUAUAUGAAAACGUGGGCUUUUUGCAUGGAGGAUUAGAGUUAUGUGUCAGCUAUUUUCAAGACUACGAGAGUUUCAAGUUUCAGCUUUACUGCAACCUGUGCUGCCCCAGUCUAUCCCACUCCGACUCGAGUAAUGCUAUCUUUCACUUUUCUCUCUCUAUAGAGGCCCAAACGUGAACUUAUUCCUGCAAGUUUUCUCUUACGUACUUAUUUCAGAAAAGGGAACCAGGACACCCCCCUUCCCCCGGUACUUGUCUCAUAAACGGGAACCAGGACCCCCCCCCCCUUCCCCCGGUACCUCUUAUGACUGAUUUGCCGUUGAUCCCUAGUCACAGUUUCACUUUGAUUUUUUCACACUAGUAAAGUAACUGAUCUGACUUUUGACUUAGCAAAUUGUAGCAAAAAAUGUUGGCGUUAAAAUGAAACAAGGGGCAUGUUGUCAGCUUUUGGCAGAGUACUGCUGGAGUCCUAGCAGAUGAUGGAUGCAGUUUAAGGCUAUCUCUUCUAUCAGAUGAUGGAUACAGUUUAAGGCUAUCUCUUCUAUCAGAUGAUGGAUACAGUUUAAGGCUAUCUCUUCUAUCAGAUGAUGGAUACAGUUUAAGGCUAUCCCUUCUAUCAGAUGAUGGAUACAGUUUAAGGCUAUCUCUUCUAUCAGAUGAUGGAUACAGUUUAAGGCUAUCUCUUCUAUCCGAUGAUGGAUACAGUUUAAGGCUAUCUCUUCUAUCCGAUGAUGGAUACAGUUUAAGGCUAUCCCUUCUAUCAGAUGAUGGAUACAGUUUAAGGCUAUCUCUUCAACGCUGUUGUCACAUCAAAGCGAAAAAAACUGAGUUGGAAUUUCAGGUUUGGAAUUUUUGGGGGUUUUUUUUAGGAUCUGUGUCUGUGUGCUAGGAUUUUCAAUUCUGUCCGGGCAUGGGUUAGGAUCAUGUGCUUUCCCCACAUCGCCUGGCAGGUUAGCUUUGACGAACCUUGGGGGAGGGGAGUCUGAGGCAGCCUGACUCCUCCAUGCAGUAGAUUGUGGUGGGUGUGGCUUCACCCAUACACGACCGGUCCUCACAAAGCUUGUGUUGCUCUGAUUCAAGGUUCCCUUUAUCUAGUACACUUGUCUCUAUCUAGUAUACUUGUCUCUAUCUAGUAUACUUGUCUCUAUCUAGUAGACUUUUCUCCCUUGUCUCUAUCUAGUAUACUUGUCUCUAUCUAGUAUACUUGUCUCUAUCUAGUAUACUUGCCUCUAUCUAGUAUACUUGUCUCUAUCUAGUAUACUUGUCUCUACCUAGUGUACUUGUCUCUAUCUAGUGUACUUGUCUCUAUCUAGUAGACUUAUCUCUAUCUAGUAGACUUGUCUCUAUCUGGUGUACUUGUCUCUAUCUAGUGUACUUGUCUCUAACUAGUAUACUUGUCUCUAUCUGGUGUACUUGUCUCUAUCUAGUGUACUUGUCUCUAUCUAGUAUACUUGUCUCUAUCUAGUGUACUUGUCUCUAUCUGGUGUACUUGUCUCUAUCUAGUAUACUUGUCUCUAUCUAGUACACUUGUUUCUAUCUAAUAUACUUGUCCAUGUUCUCUUUGUUUAGCCGUGCUGGAGAAGAGUGUGGCCUUGUGGGCCGUGCUCCAAGUGACGAUUGUGUCCCUCAAGAUUGUAUUUUGAGCUUGUGACUUUCUCUUUCUCUACCUAGCGCACAACACCAUUGGGAUUCUCUGGAUACAGUCAGCGCUAGCCAGAUUUGUUCCGACAUAGAUGGGGCUAAAGAUGCCAGUGUGGCACAAUGCGACCUAUUUGUCUCGCAACCUUGAAAAACAAACACAUUACCACUGUUCAGCGUAAGACUCAUACAUCUCUUUGUUCUUGAACCCCUUCGGCACCUAUGACGUACGCCGUUCGUCACGUCCAGGGCAUGUCGUGCCACGCGAGGUGUAAGGACUGUGAUGUCGGACGCCGUUCGUCAUAGCUUGUAUUUGGCUGUAUUUGGCAUACUGCUUCUGUUAGGUGCAUGAAUUUCCUAAAAUUAAUCGCAGUUUACGUUCUGGAUUAUUUUUUUCGGUACAAAGAAAUCUUUUCCUUUCAGAUAGAUAUAGUUAGUAGUAUUUGCGAACCGGGACUAAUUACAGGAAACUGACCACUCAAUCUAGUACAUUUGUACUACUGUGUCCUUGGGGACCGAAAACUGUGCCUGGUGAGGCACACACUGAGCCUGUGUCAUGGAGGAGUUCAUGUGUGACACAGUCUGGCAGCACACACUGAGCCUGUGUCAUGGAGGAGUUAAUGUGUGACAGUCUGGCAGCACAAGGUCUCACUGUAACAUGGGGGAGUUAAUGUGUGACAGUCUGGCAGCACACACUGAGCCUGUGUCAUGGAGGAGUUAAUGUGUGACAGAGUCUGGCAGCACAGGGUCUCAGUGUAAGGUGGAGGAGUUAAUGUGUGACAGAGUCUGGCAGCACAGGGUCUCACUGUAACGUGGGAGAGUUAAUGUGUGACAGACUGGCAGCACAUGGUCUCACUGUAACGUGGGAGAGUUAAUGUGUGACAGACUGGCAGCACAGGGUCUCACUGUAACGUGGGAGAGUUAAUGUGUGGCAGCCUGGCAGCACAGGGUCUCAUUGUAACGUGGGAGAGUUAAUGUGUGACAGACUGGCAGCACAGGGUCUCAGUGUAAGGUUCACGGUCACAUCAAGUAGAUGUCCCGUCCUAUUGUGCCAGCUGUUUCUCCAUAACUCUGAGGGGACGUGUGGCUGGCUGGGGCUGACUGAGCGCGGGGGAUCGGGUUGGUGGCGUGCGCUGAGUGUUGGCCGACGUGAAACUUUGGGACAAUUUACACACACUAAAAGUUUGUUCCAUGCUGGUAUUUUUGUGUCCUUAUUUGUGUUCUUAUUUCUCGAAAGUUUUGGGUUCAGCGAUGUUGCUGAAGCUUUUCUCCCUUCAAUUUGCCUGCGCCUAUCUACGGUGGAAUUGUAUCAUUCUGACAUGCAAAGAAAAUCGAGACGUGCUUGAACCAACAUGAAAACAAUCACCUUGUGUCCCACGGGCUCAUAUGACCUUAUGCAGCUGCGAGCGCCGUAAAAGUUUGGCCGAACUGAAACUGAAUGGUUAGGCUGUUCACGUUGCCGACAGGGGCCUUGAGUAUAUUCUCCUGGGGGUGGGGUUACUUCUCCAGCUUUGUGCUGGUCUGUGCUCGCCAUAGAUGUAUGGUGGUCGCCCACAUAGAUGUAUGGUGGUCGCCCACAUAGAUGUAUGGUGGUCGCCCACAUAGAUGUAUGGUGGUCGCCCACAUAGAUGUAUGGUGGUCGCCCACAUAGAUGUAUGGUGGUCGCCCACUAAGAGGUUAGCCUUGACGGCCGUGUGUAGACUAGGUUAGCCUUGACGUGUGUAGACUAGGUUAGCCUUGACGGCCGUGUGUAGACUAGGUUAUCAUUGACGGCCGUGUGUAGACUAGGUUAGCCUUGACGUGUGUAGACUAGGUUAGCCUUGACAGCCGUGUGUAGACUAGGUUAGCCUUGGCGGCCGUGUGUAGACUAGGUUAGCCUUGACGUGUGUAGACUAGGUUAGCCUUGACGGCCGUGUGUAGACUAGGUUAGCCUUGACGGCCGUGUGUAGACUAGGUUAGCCUUGACGGCCGUGUGUAGACUAGGUUAGUCUUGACCGCCGUGCGUGGAAGCUGCCCGCCUCCUAAAGGACGAGAAAUCUGUCGGCAGAGGCGGAAAAUAUGAUAUCUUGUUUCUCUUUUGAUUGUGAUGUCUGUAAAUGUAAAACUGAUACAUCAGCUGAAUAAAAUUGUCACAAAGUUGUU
rnacentral:lncRNA from 1 species